CAGUAGCCGCGGGAAUACGAAGGGGGCUAGCGUUGUUCGGAAUUACUGGGCGUAAAGCGCACGUAGGCGGAUAUUUAAGUCAGGGGUGAAAUCCCGCAGCUCAACUGCGGAACUGCCUUUGAUACUGGGUAUCUUGAGUAUGGAAGAGGUUAGUGGAAUUGCGAGUGUAGAGGUGAAAUUUGUAGAUAUUCGCAGGAACACCAGUGGCGAAGGCGGCUAACUGGUCCAUAACUGACGCUGAGGUGCGAAAGCGUGGGGAGCAAACAGGAUUAGAGACCCCCGUAGUCCCUGUCUCUUAUAC
rnacentral:rRNA from 1 species